GGAGUGACGGCGGGUCGAAGGUUGUCCGGCUAUUAGAUGCCGGUUCUUGGUUUGGGGUGGUGGAUAGGAAAACCCGUCCACGGAAUCUCCGGAUUGGGAGGAGUCCUAGAGGCGAACCAACUGGAAGUCCGUCCGAGAAAAACUUCGCGGGAGCAGAGCAGUGACCGUACCUAAUCUGACACAGGAGGGCGAGGCGAAUAGCCUCAGGCGCUCGAGAGAACCCUACGUGAAGGAACUCGGCAAAUUAACCCCGUAAGUUAGCGAUAAGGGGUGCCUCCGCAAGGAGGUCACAGGAAAACGACAGCUGCGACUGUUUACUAAAAACACAGGUCUCUGCGAAGUCGUCAAAGGCGACGUAUAGAGACUGACGCUUGCCCGCUGUUGGAACGUUAAGGUGACUGGUUAGCCGCAAGGCGAGGCUGGGAGCCGAAGCGCCAAUGAAGGGCGGCCGUAACAAUGACGGUCCUAAGGUAGCGAAAUUCCUUGUCGGGUAAGUUCCGACCCGCACGAAUAGCGUAACGACAGCUGUACUGUCUCCACGAGGGACUCGGCGAAAUUGUAGCUGUGGUGAAGAUGCCACAUACCCGCACCAAGACGGAAAGACCCCGUGAACCUUUACUGUAACCUAAUACUGGCUCUAGGUUCGCCAUGUGUAGCAUAGGUGGGAGACGUUGAUGUCGGGGGCGCCAGCCUCCGAAUAGUCAUCAGUGAAAUACCACUCUUGGCGUACUUGGAGUCUAACCUGCGACCGUUAUCCGGCGUGGGAACAGUGUUAGGCGGGCAGUUUGACUGGGGCGGUCUCCUCCUAAAAGGUAACGGAGGAGUUCAAAGGUACCCUCAAUGCGGUUGGCAAUCGCAUGCAGAGCGUAAAAGUAUAAGGGUGCUUGACUGCGAGACACAUAGGUCGAGCAGGUACGAAAGUAGGAUUUAGUGAUCCGGUGGUCCCGUGUGGAAGGGCCAUCGCUCAUCAGAUAAAAGGUACUCCGGGGAUAACAGGCUGAUCACGCCCAAGAGUCCAUAUCGACGGCGUGGUUUGGCACCUCGAUGUCGGCUCAUCGCAUCCUGGGGCUGAAGGCGGUCCCAAGGGUUGGUCUGUUCGCCCAUUAAAGCGGUACGUGAGCUGGGUUUAGACCGUCGUGAGACAGGUCGGUCCCUAUCUGGUGUGGGCGCAGGAUGAUUGCGGAGACUCUUUCCUAGUACGAGAGGAUUGGAAAGAACGAACCUCUGGUGUGCAGUUGUCGCGCUAGCGGCAUCGCUGGAUAGCUAUGUUCGGACAGGAUAAGCGCUGAAAGCAUCUAAGCGCGAAGCCAACUCCAAGACUGGUCAUCCCCCG
rnacentral:rRNA from 1 species